rnacentral:rRNA from 2 species
GGCUCAGGACGAACGCUGGCGGCGUGCCUAAUACAUGCAAGUCGAACGCACUCUCGUUUAGAUUGAAGGAGCUUGCUCCUGAUUGAUAAACAUUUGAGUGAGUGGCGGACGGGUGAGUAACACGUGGGUAACCUGCCCUAAAGUGGGGGAUAACAUUUGGAAACAGAUGCUAAUACCGCAUAAAACCUAACACCGCAUGGUGUAGGGUUGAAAGAUGGUUUCGGCUAUCACUUUAGGAUGGACCCGCGGUGCAUUAGUUAGUUGGUGAGGUAAAGGCUCACCAAGACCGUGAUGCAUAGCCGACCUGAGAGGGUAAUCGGCCACACUGGGACUGAGACACGGCCCAGACUCCUACGGGAGGCAGCAGUAGGGAAUCUUCCACAAUGGACGAAAGUCUGAUGGAGCAACGCCGCGUGAGUGAAGAAGGUUUUCGGAUCGUAAAACUCUGUUGUUGGAGAAGAAUGUAUCUGAUAGUAACUGAUCAGGUAGUGACGGUAUCCAACCAGAAAGCCACGGCUAACUACGUGCCAGCAGCCGCGGUAAUACGUAGGUGGCAAGCGUUGUCCGGAUUUAUUGGGCGUAAAGCGAGCGCAGGCGGUUUCUUAAGUCUGAUGUGAAAGCCUUCGGCUCAACCGAAGAAGUGCAUCGGAAACUGGGAAACUUGAGUGCAGAAGAGGACAGUGGAACUCCAUGUGUAGCGGUGAAAUGCGUAGAUAUAUGGAAGAACACCAGUGGCGAAGGCGGCUGUCUGGUCUGUAACUGACGCUAGCUCG